rnacentral:tRNA from 1 species
GCCCUUGUAGCUCAAUGGUAGAGCUCCAGCCUGUCAAGCCAAAGGCCAGUGGUUCGAUCCCCGUGCGGGACA